ensembl:lncRNA
GACAGAGAUGUCAGAGAGAGAAGGUGGCUAAUUUGGAGCAAGAGGGGAGCUCAGGAGGAAAGAGAGAGAAGCCUUGGAUGGAAGGACAGAGAAACUAAGAGGACAGAAGAAAUUAAUAAGUGUUUGCUCCUUCUCAUCUGGAAUGAUGGGCCAUCAUUUGGUAGCUCUGUCAACCUUAUCAUCACGGUUAUCUGCCUGGCAGAGGAUGGCUGCUUUGGAAAACAGAUCCAGCUUCUCUAGAGUCAGACUUCCAGAUCUUCAUCUGCAGAGAAAGAUGAACGCUGAGCCUGCCACAGAUGGAAAGAAAUAAUAGCAGGAAAGUGGCGGUACCCGGUGGAGAAAGCAGGUCUUCACGUAAAGACACCUGCUGUGCCACUCGAGGAUGCUUUAAUGGGAAAAGACUAUUUUUUUGGACAAGUUGACCCAUAUAAAAAAA